UUUCUGCACACCUGGGGGAGGAGUCCUACCUGUGAGCCCUCCCCAGACGGGCAUCUUAGCCAAGCCUUCCUGUCUAGUUUUUCCUUAUUUUGGACCCUCACCCUGGAGACAGAUUUCUUGUAGAUGGCGUGUAGCUUCUCAGAGGGAUUACUCAUUCCGACCGGGGGAGGACCCCCCCAAUACCUUGUGACUCAUUUGGGGUUUCUGUCGCCUUGCAUAAACUGCUUUUGUUGAGCAGAUUAUUAUUUGGAAACACCUUUGCAAGCCGUCUGGACGGCCAUCACAUGCGAGUUUGGAAAAGGCAGCACCUCUAACCGCUCUCGCUGCUUCCUGGCCCGCCGCCUGCCCCCAGGCUCCCAGGUGGGUCUGCCUAAGACAGAGGCGAGUCAGGAAAAUGGGGCGCCGUCUGCAGAGGCCCAAGACCGCUGUGCCAGUUCCCGCGCGUCAGGGGGACAGCGCUGCCCCCAGCCCCCUGCCUCCCCCGGAAGGCUCUGCUCCUGCUCGCUCUGCUGAAACCUGUCCGCUAAGAAUGGGAUGCAGACUCUUGCCCGGGCAGCCUGCGGUGUGAGGUUUUAACAUGCAGCUGACGAACCACCAAGUCAAAGCAAGGAGGCUUUCACGCAGGCAGACACUUCAGAGUUCAAAAUAUCAAAAGGAACCCUCACCAGACAGGACUGGAUGCUGAAUGUGUGGAAUUCCUUUUGACGGCUGUCAAGGUGAUCCCCUGGUUUUCCUCCUUCGCUGCCUCGUAGGAAUCGCACCACAGGUUUCUUCCUGCGAAAGAACCACCACGGCUGGGCACUGGCGCUCUGCGCGCUGGAAUCCCAAAGCCCUUCUCAUUCUCCUCUGACUCAUUAAUGUUUUCUUGGGUUGU